CGGUCUCAGUUCGGAUCGGAGUCUGCAACCCGACUCUGUGAAGCUGGAUUCGCUAGUAAUCGCGCAUCAGCCAUGGCGCGGUGAAUACGUUCCCGGGCCUUGUACACACCGCCCGUCAAGCCAUGGGAGCCGAGGGCGCUUGAAGUGCGUCGCCGCAAGGCGCGCCCUAGAGCGAAAUCGGUGACUGGGGCUAAGUCGUAACAAGGUACC
rnacentral:rRNA from 1 species